rnacentral:rRNA from 1 species
UGCCAGCCGCCGCGGUAAUACGGAGGGGGUUAGCGUUGUUCGGAAUUACUGGGCGUAAAGCGCGCAUAGGCGGACUAUUAAGUCAGGGGUGAAAUCCCGGGGCUCAACCCCGGAACUGCCUUUGAUACUGGUAGUCUUGAGUUCGAGAGAGGUGAGUGGAAUUCCGAGUGUAGGGGUGAAAUCCGUAGAUAUUAGGAGGAACACCAGAGGCGAAGGCGACUAUCUGGGCCAUUACUGACGCUAAGGUACGAAAGCGUGGGGAGCGAACGGGAUUAGAUA